AUGUGGGGAAAGAUUUUGACCAGAGGAACUUACCAAGCAAUCAAGAUCACUACUGACUUCUCGAAGAUAUACGAUGGCUUAGCCUUUUCUGGCUUCUACGAGUGGUUAGAUAGCAUGGGUUUUGAUGUGUGUUGCUACAACGAGUUUGAUGGUCUCUAUUACGAGAUUUGGCAAAGGUACAAGAUGGAGGUUAGUACUGAACAACUAAGCAACGAUUGA
rnacentral:rRNA from 1 species